rnacentral:rRNA from 1 species
GAGAUAAGGCGUUCCCUUCGGGGACGCAAUGACAGGUGGUGCAUGGUCGUCGUCAGCUCGUGUCGUGAGAUGUUGGGUUAAGUCCCGCAACGAGCGCAACCCUUGUUACUAGUUGCCAGCAUUAAGUUGGGCACUCUAGUGAGACUGCCGGUGACAAACCGGAGGAAGGUGGGGACGACGUCAGAUCAUCAUGCCCCUUAUGACCUGGGCUACACACGUGCUACAAUGGAC